GGUGCAGCAGGCGCGAAACCUUUACACUGCACGCAAGUGCGAUAAGGGGACCCCAAGUGCGAGGGCAUAUAGUCCUCGCUUUUCUCGACUGUAAGGCGGUCGAGGAAUAAGAGCUGGGCAAGACCGGUGCCAGCCGCCGCGGUAAUACCGGCAGCUCAAGUGAUGACCGAUAUUAUUGGGCCUAAAGCGUCCGUAGCCGGCCACGAAGGUUCAUCGGGAAAUCCGCCAGCUCAACUGGCGGGCGUCCGGUGAAAACCACGUGGCUUGGGACCGGAAGGCUCGAGGGGUACGUCCGGGGUAGGAGUGAAAUCCUGUAAUCCUGGACGGACCACCGAUGGCGAAAGCACCUCGAGAAGACGGAUCCGACGGUGAGGGACGAAAGCUAGGGUCUCGAACCGGAUUAGAUACCCGGGUAGUCCUAGCUGUAAACGAUGCUCGCUAGGUGUGGCACAGGCUACGAGCCUGUGCUGUGCCGUAGGGAAGCCGAGAAGCGAGCC
rnacentral:rRNA from 1 species